CGAAUUAUUAACAUUUUCGUCACCAUUAUUCCCCUCCUUGAACAGCAAGCGGAAAGAGAAAACGACCAUAACCCUAGACUGACAAUGGCCAGCGAAUCCCAUGACUCGCGUCGGAAGCACCGGCGGUCGUCAUCGUCAGAAGAUGAUGCCGAGAGGUCCUCCAAGCGCCACAAGCACCAUCAUCACCACCGUCACCGCCACCGCAGCAAGAAACGCGACGCUGAGGAUAUCAUUGCCGCUCCUCCUCCACCAGUGGCUAUUAGGAAUUCUCGGGCUGAUGACGAUGUGGAGGAGGGCGAGAUUCUCGAAGAUGAGGGCUUCGAUUUCGGUGGUGGCGAGCACGAGAUUGCGGAAAGGAAACCUCAGUCGGACGAUGAGUCUAGGGAAAUCGUGGCCGUUGGUGUUACUGCUCCAUCUGAUCAGCAAAAUUCGGGAAGUGCUGAGCAUGGCUCGUAUGAUGCUGAAGCAAGGAUACACGAGGGAGAGAUUCUAGGGAAAAAAGGUAGGAGUCUGAAGACAUUGCGAGAGGAUAAGAGUAAGGAUGAUUUUUUGAGGAAUUCAAAUUUAGAUAAGGAAGACAGAGCUUAUAGCCAGAGUGGGGUUGAUACUGACAUUGAAAAUGAGGUUGCUUUUCCAAGGACUUUAAAUGUUGAGCCCCAAAAUGAAUUGGCUUAUAGAGUUACCUCAGAGGGUUAUGGCAAUGGGGAUUUGGGUUUCAAAGCAAUCAAAGACAAAAAAAUGUGGCAGAGUGAAUCUUGGCCCCCUUCUAAAGGAAGUGGCAAGGAAAAGACACAUUAUGAUGAUGAGAAGGUUGAGGUUUAUGGAAGUAAGUUAAGCAACCAGGGAAAGUCGUCCUCUCAAAGCACAGGGGACACUAGGAGUAGAUCUAGGUCAAUCGAUCAUGCUAGAGGGAGAUCACGUUCACGUAGCAUAAGAGAAGAGGAGGCCCAUUCAAAAAAGCAACAUUAUUAUGGUCGUGAUGCCUCAUUGUAUGCCGAUAGAAGCAAGUUUAUGUAUGACUCCGAUGAUGAAAGAAUAGUUCAACUGAGUAAGGAUGGACGGCAUUAUCGUAGAGAUGUGGAAAGGGAACACAUUACUGGUUCCAACAAGUAUAUUGGAGAGGAAAGGCUUCAAAGUCAGAGUACACGGGAGAGAGAGAGGAGCAAGGAUAGGGAGAUGGCUAGGGAGUUAAGGAAGGAAAAAGAAAGAAACAGGGGUGUUGAGAUGGACAAGGCUCAAAGAAGGGAGAAAGAACGAGAAAGGAGCAGGGAGAGGGACAGGAAAAGGGGGAUGGAACGAUAUAGAAGCAAGGAAAGGGAGGUGGCCAAGGAUAGACAGGAUAUGGAAAGAGAUAAGAUCAAGGACAAUCAGGUGGAUAGAGAUGGUGAAAGGGACAAGGAAAGAGGUAGGAGCAGAGCUAGUGAAAGAGAGAGAGAUAGGGACAGGGAAAGGGAAAGGGAGAAAGAUAGGGACAAAGUUUGGAGGGAGAGGGACAACGAGAGGGAGAAGUGGAAUGAUAGAAAUAGGAAUAGAGAUAGGGGCAUAAUGAUUGAUAGGGAAAAGUAUGAAUAUCUUGUGGAUGGAGAUAGACAUAAGAAUUCUAGAUACUCGAGAUAUGAUGGAAAAGAUUACCACCACGACAGAACACGAAAAACUGAUUCAGCAAAAGUUCCUAGUUCUAGGAGUGAGUUGUUGGAAGGAAAUAGAGAGAAACUCCAAAGGGAUGAUGAUGAACAGGGAGACUACGAAGAAGGGACUACAUUGCAGUUUGCCGAGCAGGAAGAGGAAGAUCUCAACAGAAUCAAGGAGGAGAGUAGAAGGCGAAGGCAAGCCAUAUUAGAAAAAUAUAAGAGUCAGCAAUUACAGCAACCAAAUCAGCCUCGAUCAGAAGAUACAGAGAAAGAUAAGGAGCCUGCACAUGAUUCUGAUCAAUCCAUAGCAGCUAAUGAUGUCAUUACUGACGCUGGUGAUGGUAGAAGUGAUGGUUUUGAUAUCUACGUUGCUGAACCAUCAUUUUCUGUGGGGAAAUCACCUCCACAAAAUGGACAUGCUGAUUUGGAGAAGACUUCCAGUGCUGGGGGGCUUGGGGAGGGUAGUCCAAAGAGUGAGAGGUCAGGUGACAAGUUUUGUGAUGAUAUUUUUGGUGAGACACCAACAGGAGUUCGCAGAUUGGACAAAGUAGAUGGAUUACGCUUUGAAAGGAGUGGUCUUAAUGACAACUGGGAUGAUGCAGAGGGUUAUUAUGGCUACCGGUUUGGUGAAAUACUCGAUGGACGAUAUGAAGUUACUGCUGCUCAUGGGAAAGGUGUAUUUUCUACCGUAGUUCGUGCAAAGAAUCUUAAAGCUGGUAAUGGUGAACCGGAGGAAGUGGCUAUAAAAAUUAUACGAAGUAAUGACACAAUGUACAAGGCCGGUAUGGAGGAGCUGGUCAUAUUAAAGAAACUAGUAGGUGCAGAUCCAGAUGACAAGCGCCACUGCGUUCGAUUUAUUUCGAGUUUCAAGUACCGCAAUCAUCUUUGUUUAGUUUUUGAAUCUCUUCAUAUGAAUCUGCGUGAGGUUUUAAAGAAGUUUGGACGGAAUAUUGGCCUCAAGUUAACUGCUGUGAGAGCAUAUGCAAAGCAACUUUUUAUUGCCCUGAAGCAUCUUAGAAAUUGUGGUGUUCUUCAUUGCGAUAUAAAGCCAGAUAACAUGCUGGUAAAUGAGGCAAAAAAUGUGCUGAAGCUCUGUGACUUUGGCAAUGCCAUGUUUGCUGGUAAAAAUGAAAUUACGCCAUACCUUGUAAGCCGCUUUUAUCGCGCCCCUGAAAUAAUUCUUGGCAUGCCUUAUGAUCAUCCAUUGGAUAUUUGGUCUGUGGGGUGCUGUUUGUACGAGAUUUAUACGGGAAAGGUUCUUUUUCCAGGUGCUACAAACAAUGACAUGUUACGCCUUCACAUGGAAUUAAAGGGCCCUUUCCCAAAGAAGAUGCUCCGCAAGGGGGCAUUUAUUGAUCAGCAUUUUGAUCAGGACCUGAGUUUUCAUGCUACAGAAGAGGACCCUGUCACGAAAAAGGCUAUAAAGCGGAUGAUUCUCAACAUAAAGCCAAAAGAUAUCUCUUCAAUCAUUACAGGCUCUCCUGGGGAGGAUCCAAAGAUGUUAGCCAAUUUUAAAGAUCUUCUAGAAAAAAUUUUUGUGUUAGAUCCUGACAAGAGGAUGACAGUGUCACAAGCAUUGUCCCAUCCAUUCAUCACGGUUCCUAAUUACUGGGCAUUAUCUGUCUUCUCUAUGAUGGCCCAAGAACUUUCAACACGGUUUUGCCGUUGAAGUCAAAAUGGGGUGAUGUUUGGUCUGGAGUUCUCUUUGCUGGCGGGUUCUUUCGUGGAUUGUACUGUUUCUAUCGAUGUCUGCCACUGCUUUGAAGCAACCCUUCAGUGCUUAGAUGCUUAAAAGGCACACAGGAGAAGGAGCUUGCACAGGAGGUCUACGGCCGCAGCCUUGAUGAAAAAAAUUUACUGGAUGUGACCCCCAUGCUCCUGCAAUUGUUGUAAGUAUAUUUCCAUUUUCUUGUUUAUGUCCACCUUGAUUCCAUCAUUGUUUCCUGAUGUUAUGUUCCUUGUGAUUUUCUAUUUUUUCAUGUAUGAUUUAUAUGGUUUCUCCUUCUUGAUAUUUGGCAUGCUCCAGUCUAAUUUUAUGUUGAUAUGUAACUUUAGCCCCUAAGGGUUGGCUCAAGUGGUAAAGGCCUUGGGCUUGAGGAUAUGCUCCCCUCAAGUCUAAAGUUCAAAUUCCCUUGGGUGCAAACAAUCACUAGAGGCCAUCGGACUGGGGGAUUUUCUUCUUGAAUUACCUGAGGUGCAUUUGCGGGAAGCUUCUUACCAAGGGCCUGUGCACUCCUGGGAUCAGUCGGGACACUGUUCCUGGACAAUUGGUUUUAAUUAAAAAAAGUUAUAUGGUUUUUCCUUCUAGAUAUCUGGCUAGCUCCAGUCUAAUUUUGUGUGAUAGAUUUUUUAGGCUUGUAAAAAAGCCGUGUAGUGUGAAAGUGAGGUGUGGUAAUUUACUCAUCAUGAGGCAAGGGAUGAGCCUUAAGCCUUUGUGAAGGUCCAUGAUCAUAUCCCAUCACAUGUAAGUUAUAGGCUUCGGUGCGAGGAAGACUAUAUGUGCUACACAGCUCGAUCAAUGCUCAAAAGAAGAGGCUGGUCUUUUGAAAAAUAUGAGGAGGGAUUGGAGAAAUUCUCCCAAUUCGCUAGAUAUGAGGCAGGUGAUGGGUUGAGGCUAAGAUUUUGGCAUGAUGUGUGGUUGAAAUCAUCCUCUGAAAGCUGCUUUUCCAGAAUUAUUCAGGAUUGCACAUUUUAAUGAUGCAUGCUUGGCGGAUCAGUUGUAGUUCUCUCAUGAGUUCCAUCAGUGGCAUGUUAAGUGUGUGAGAGGUCCUAGGUGCUGUAAGGUGUAUUCUUUGUGUACUUCCUGUGUACUGGGCUACCCUACCUUUCUAUCAAUAAAAUCUUAUUUUACCCAUAAAAAAAAAAUUGUGUGAGUGGCUAAAACUUGAGAGGCAGAUCUCUUUACCUCGUUCUUUAAUCGAUUAUAUACUAGUAGGUUGAGAAGGGGUGGUGAAAAGAGCUUUGCUACUUGUCAUCCCACAUGCUACACUUUUUUUUUUUUUUUUUCGGUUUUAUUCCUACUAAACCAAUUGAGUUCUUCUACUCAUCAUCCAUACAUUACACAUUUGGUAAGGGAAACAAAAUGAAAAAUUUAAAAAUCAUGUGUGGUGUGUGGUGUGGGGAUGGUGAGUAGAAUUUUUAUUCAAAUAAGUUAGUUUGGAGCCUUGCUAGGAAAUGGGUGAUUGGAAGUCGUUUUACAACAGCUCAUGUUCCCGUGAUAAUACUCCUUUCCCUCGGAAGAUUAUUUGGAGUAGCAUGGCUCUCCAGAGUAGCAAUUUUUGUUGUCCACACGGACACCAGCUAUAGGGAAGAUUCUUGUCAUGGAUAACUAAAGUAAAUGAUGUUAUAGUAUUUGAUUGAUACCACACUUGUAUAAUAAUUUGUGAAAUUGUUGGUCAAUUUCUUCUGUAUUGCAAGGUGGUUUGAUAUUAAUGGGAUUAAUUGGGUCAUGCUGAAUCGGGUGGUGGAUCUCUUGGCAUGUUUGAGAUGUAAGUUCGACAAACAUCGAUGUGUUUUGUUGUGUAAAAUGAUUGUAUCUUGUUGAAUGUGAUAUGCAUGGAGAGAAGAAUGGGCAAACUUUUAAACAAAAUGUAAUUGAAAUUCAUUAAAAACCAAUGGGUGUACCCAAGUAUACAAGAAAUAUACAAGAGACCACCUAAACUAAAGGGAAAAGAAAAAAUUCACCAAACUAAGCCGUGACCCACUAGGUCCUUAUCCCAUGGGCGUACAUUUGAAGAUUGUAAAAAGUCUCUGGUGGAUCUCAAGGCCUUCUUACUAAACACCCUUUACCAUUGGAUGUUAUCUGAAAAUUGUUUUACCUUUUCUAUUUCUAGUUUCCAGGGCCUUCAUCUCCUCUUUACUUCUGUGUAGGUGUAUAUUUUGUUUACUUGCUGUGUGUAUGGUGCACGACCUUUUGUUUUUCAAUUGAAUCUACCUUGUUAAUGAGAAUGAUUAAAACCAAAAGUUCACCUAUUUUUGCUUAUUGUAAGUGAAGUUUAACUUAUGGAUUCCUGUUUUCAUGUUAAACAAGGGCCUCAUUGAUUUAUUUUCAUGCGUUUUCAUGUGCAAGCUAUACAUGUCCUGUGAUAGUUUCCUUUUACUUGUUAGCCAGCGCAUAGUGCCUAAUCAUUUUGCUAUGGUUUGGUUGGAUUUACUUAGGCGUAACCUUAGGUGAUCGCUUUGGUCACAAAUAGUUUGCUAGGUUUCUGAUGGCCUUGCCAUUAGAUACUUUGUUCUCUUGGGAGGAGGAAGAGGAGAUGACGUUUUUGGCUUGGCCUUGUGAUGUACCUAAUGAGGGUGAGUCUGCGCGUGAAAUUUGAAAGGAUAUUUAUGUGCUUUAGGUUCCACCAUUUUUGGUUUGUAAAUGGGGCUGAUCUGCUGUACAAGGAUUGAGCACAUUUCGGGUGAAAAAGAAUCUUCUUGUCAUUAGAGAGAGAGGAGCUGUAACAACCCAAGGAAAGUCCAAACUGUGUCCGGGGCCUAUACUUCAAAAGGGUUAGUCAAGGUUGCAAUUGGAGCCUCUUAAAAUCAUAUAAAUGGCAAAAACUUCUCUCCUGGGCAAUACUGGAUCUCAUUCUCUACCCACUAUAUUCAACCCACAAUACUCCAAUCCUCUCUUUAAAUUCUUGACAUCCUCUUGUGGCCAUUCUAUUGUAAGUGGAGCAGCUCAAGUCCCACACUUUCAGUUUGGGAUUGCCUCCAAUACCAUGUAUAAUGACCUAUAAAAAUCCCAAGUCACCUGACAUUCUCUUCAAGCUGUACUCCAAAAGGAUUAGUUAAAGUUACAAUUGAAUCCCACUGAAAUCAGUAUAAAAGACAAUAACUUGUCUGUCUCAGGUAUAAUGUAGAAUCUCAUUCACAACUCUGCCAUCCUCAACCUGGAGUGUUUCUAGGGCUGAUGCUUAUUCAAUUUGACUGAAGUGCUUAAGCUGGAUUGGUUUUCCUUUUCUGGCUUCUACAAAUGACAAAAUUAAAAGAUAAUCAAAAUAAUUUGUCCCUUAAACGCCUAUAAAAUGGUAUCAUUGCAGAAGCCCCAAUUUUUUUAAUCAGAUUUGCACUGAAAUAAGCUUGAAUCUGACAAGGGGGCAUGCUAUUCAUUUUUUUAGGCAUUCGUGGUGAUUUACAAGGUUUACUUAGGCCCAUUUUCAGUGGUAGUAGUUCAUCCUUUUAGGAAAGGUUCAGACUACCUUAACUCACAUUUCAAAUUUUCAGGCUCUGAUUCCUAAUAUCUUCCAAAAAGGUGCUACAUUAGUUUGGAUGUAUAUGUGAGAGGACUAGUAAGCAUAAGCAUAAAACACAAUUAUCAUAAGGAUUAAAGCAAAUUAGGUCUGAGUUCUGACUCUGGCAUAUAGCUGCCUGGACAUAUUCAGAUUUGUUAGGCAAUGGUUUGAGCCCGAGGCCUUUAGGUGACCUUUUUUCCAUAAUCUAAAAUGAUUUAUUUGCUGUUUGUUAUAUGCGUGGUUUAAUUUUGUGUUUUUCUAUUCAUUCAUUAUGCUUUUAGAUCUAACCCCCAAAAUCUCAUUCUCAAGGAUUGUGAACUGUUCUGUGGAACCAUAAUUUGCUGAAAGUGUUUUUAACCUGAAA